AUGGCCGGUGCGCCGGCCAAGGGGAGUCUACCUACACCUGCUGGAAGUUCUCCAGCGGUUUGCAUGGAUAAAACACCGCCAAAUCGGGCGGCGGAGGAAGACGAGGAGAGGAAGGAGGGGUCAUGCUCGGAGGAUCUACCUGGUAGCGGGGACGCAGAUCUGAUUGGGGCGGAAGAAGAAGAGGAUAGCGAGAGGGAGGAGGAUGAGCAGAACUUUGAUGAAGAUGAGGAAGAUGGUGGGUACGACGGGGCUGAUGAAGAUCUGGAGGACCAAGAGGUGCGCUGGUUGGGGAUAUUUAGGGUUCAUACAACACGCCCUUUCGGGCACUCGGCGCUGCUAAACCAGAUGCGUAAUGCUUGGGCCGCUGUGAAAGGUGUCACUUUCAACAUCAAAGGACCCAACUUGUUCCUGUACAAACUAAAUAAGAUUCCGGUGUGGGCUAGAAUCAAAGGCUUGCCGCCGGGUCUGACAGCAAAGAAGGCCCUAGCAGAGAAGGUUGCAGCCAAGGUAGGAGGGCCACCUUUUACAGUUAUGGUGAAUGAGGGAGUAAUAAACCCUAACAAUUCUUUGAGGGCGAGGGUGUAUCUGGAUGUUAAUGAGCCCCUUGUUCGUUUUGUGCCAAUAACUCUGAGGGAGAGUAAGAGAUAUCCAGUGGCAUACGAAAAACUCCCUGAUUUCUGCUAUCGGUGUGGCCUGAUGGGGCAUUUAGCAGAAGAGUGCGGGGAUGGAGUGCAUGAUCACAGGACAUUUGAAUGGGGCGAUUGGCUUCUUUGGGCUUCGGAGCCAAACCCUGGAGCUCAACCGGAUCGGGAUGGGGGAGGAAGAGGCUCUGCCAGAGGGAGAGCAGGUGGAAGGGAUGGGGGAGUCUCAAGAAAUGGGAGAAGAGGGGCAGCUGCUACCAUCAGAAGGAACCAUGAGGGACUUUUUCUCGGAUCUUCAUCAAUGGUCUUUGAUGAAAUAAAUGAUCCUCCAAUGUUGGAGGCUUUGGCUUGCCGAGAAGCUCUAGCUUUAGCGCAGGAUCUUUAUGCUGACCAUAUCGUUGUUGCGUGUGACAGCAAGACAGUUGUAGAGGAAAUCAAAUUGGGGUCAGAAGGAAGAUACAGCAACAUCAUCAAGGAGAUCCAAGCGCAAUCAAGACCUUUUGGUCGAUGUGACUUCAUCUUUGAAGUUGCCCCCAAAAGGUCACAAGGGCACGGGAGCGUCGGGAGGGGAGGGAAGGUGUACUCUGUCCACGAUCGCAGACCCCAGCCCCUUAAUCCACAGCCGCCGAAACCACCAUCGGCCCUGAACGCGACAACCGCGGUGUUGGCUAUGCUCCGAUCUGCCACCGGAUUCGCGCUCCGGCGCAAGGCGCCGGCCCCUCGUUUCUCCAGCCACGGCGGCCGCAGCAGCCCUGGAUGCAGCUGCACCACCAAGACAUACAAGCUGUUAAGCUGCAGCGCCCAAGAACUUUUUCCCGUUUGCUUCGCGCGUCAUGGGUCCCCCAGGGCUUGUGGUCGCUCUAAAAUAUGGUCUAUGGGGCUCCAUUUAGCCUCUGAAAUAAGCUGCAUUCAACGGAUGUACUCUGGUGAUGGCAUGAAUGAAUCCAAGAGCACGAUGGCUGAUGACAUCAAGAGAACAAUCGCCUCGUUUUGUGAAAAAACUGGCUGGAAAGGGAAGGACCUGUUGUUUGGCUGCAUCGCUGGUGCCUUAAUGUGUACGUACAAGUACAAUGCGACAGGAGCGGGAAUACUAGGAUACAGAUUUGAUGAAGUGAGAAAGGAGCGGGAGGCGAGGAAGCAGAGGGCGGAGGCGGACAAAAACAAUAUUGAUAUUUCAUUCUGCUGA
rnacentral:rRNA from 1 species